GGUGAGUAACGCGUGGGAAGCUACCUUGUGGUAGGGGACAACAGUUGGAAACGACUGCUAAUACCCUAUGAGCCCUAUGGGGGAAAGAUUUAUCGCCAUGAGAUGUGCCCGCGUUAGAUUASCUAGUUGGUAAGGUAAUGGCUUACCAAGGCGACGAUCUAUAGCUGGUCUGAGAGGAUGAUCASCCACACUGGGACUGAGACACGGCCCAKACUCCUACGGGAGGCAGCARUGGGGAAUAUUGGACAAUGGGGGCAACCCUGAUCCAGCCAUGCCGCGUGUGUGAUGACGGCCUUAGGGUUGUAAAGCACUUUCAGCAGUGAAGAUAAUGACAUUAACUGCAKAAGAAGCCCCGGCUAACUUCGUGCCAGCAGCCGCGGUAAUACAAAGGGGGCUAGCGUUGUUCGGAAUCACUGGGCGUAAAGAGUACGUAGGCGGACUGAUAAGUUAGGGGUGAAAUCCCAAGGCUCAACCUUGGAACUGCCUUUGAUACUGUCAGUCUUGAGAUCGAGAGAGGUGAGUGGAACUCCGAGUGUAGAGGUGAAAUUCGUA
rnacentral:rRNA from 1 species